rnacentral:misc_RNA from 1 species
CUUGAAACUACACUGUCGCCCUCUCUCUCACUCUGUUCUAAUUUUCCUUUUCUGCAGCACCAUUGUUCUGUUUCCAACCCCUCUCUCUCUUUCAGCUCCAAGUUUCCUUCCCUGGAAAGGACCUCCUCCACUGGGUCUGUGUCUCUUUCUCUCUCUGUAGUCUUUUUCCCUCUGUGAUAUUGCUUUCUCUCCAGUCUCCAGUCCCAUUCCCCUUCUCUGACUGAUCACCAAAGCAUCCAAAUCAACACCAUUAGCCCCUUUCGAAUCCACCCUCUGCAAAUCCUUUGAUCUCUCUCCACCUCCUUCAUAGUUUCCUUGUUUUCACAAAGAAUCAUGUCUUUUACUGGACAGGCCGUGUCUUUCAUUGGAGAGUCUGCUCUUUCAUCAUUCUUUCAGUCCCUUUUUGAGAAGAUAGAGUGCCCUGAGAUUCUUAAGUUUGCUCGUGCGGGCAAGUACUUGCUGACAUUAGGAAGUGGGAGAAAUGUUGAUGAAGAUCCAAGCUGUCCUUGAAUAUGCAGAGGAGAAGCAGAUGUCUAACCUGCGGGUGAAGAUGUGGCUGGACGGCCUCAAAGAUUUGGCUUACGAUGUGGAAGACAUCUUGGACGAGUUUCAAACUGAAUCUUUGCAACGCCAGUUUAAGGGAGAAACUGAAGCUGGUUCAAGUAAGUUUCGGAAACUCUUCCUUUCUAUGACAACUACCAUCAAUCCAGGAGCAGUCAUGUUCAAUUCAGCAAUGGUGUCCAAUAUUGUGAUCUGGUUAUUGACUUUUCCUUUUCUGGCAGAGGAAUGAGUGCAAAGUUAGAGUCAAUAGCUGAAUGGUUCGGCAACAACACAUCUCUCGAAUCUAUUGAAAUCGGAUAUCUUCCUUAUCUUAAAUCCUUGCCCAAGAACCUGCAAAUGCUCACCAAUCUCCACCAUGUUCGGAUACAUCACUGUCCAAGUUUUGUUUCUUUUCCGCGUGGAGGGUUGCCUAUCGUUCAUCUU